rnacentral:rRNA from 1 species
UGGGGAAUUUUGGACAAUGGGGGCAACCCUGAUCCAGCAAUGCCGCGUGUGUGAAGAAGGCCUUCGGGUUGUAAAGCACUUUUGUCCGGAAAGAAAUGGCUCUGGUUAAUACCCGGGGUCGAUGACGGUACCGGAAGAAUAAGCACCGGCUAACUACGUG